CGAGCGGCGGACGGCUGAGUAACACGUAGGAACGUACCCCAAAGUGAGGGAUAAGCACCGGAAACGGUGUCUAAUACCGCAUGUGAUCUAAGGAUUAAAGCUCCGGCGCUUUGGGAACGGCCUGCGCAUGAUUAGUUUGUUGGUGAGGUAAUGGCUCACCAAGACUACGAUCAUUAGCUGGUCUGAGAGGAUGAUCAGCCAGACUGGGACUGAGACACGGCCCAGACUCCUACGGGAGGCAGCAGUAGGGAAUUUUCCACAAUGGGCGAAAGCCUGAUGGAGCAACGCCGCGUGCAGGAUGAAGGCCUUCGGGUUGUAAACUGCUUUUAUAUGUGACGAUAAUGACGGUAGCAUAUGAAUAAGGAUCGGCUAACUCCGUGCCAGCAGCCGCGGUCAUACGGAGGAUCCAAGCGUUAUCCGGAAUUACUGGGCGUAAAGAGUUGCGUAGGUGGCAUUGUAAGUAGAUAGUGAAAUCGUGUGGCUCAACCAUGCCCACAUUAUCUAAACUGCAAAGCUAGAAGAUGAGAGAGGUUAUUGGAAUUCCCUGUGUAGGAGUGAAAUCCGUAGAUAUAGGGAGGAGCACCGAUGGCGUAGGCAGAUAACUGGCUCAUUCUUGACACUAAGGCACGAAAGCGUGGGUAGCAAACGGGAUUAGAUACCCCGGUAGUCCACGCCGUAAACUAUGGAUGCUAGCUGUUACCCGUAUCGACCCGGGUAGUAGCGAAGCUAACGCGUUAAGCAUCCCGCCUGUGGAGUACGGUCGCAAGACUAAAACAUAAAGGAAUUGACGGGGACCCGCACAAGCGGUGGAGCGUGUUCUUUAAUUCGAUGGUAAGCGAAGAACCUUACCCAGGUUUGACAUCCCGAGAAUUUUGCCGAAAGGCGAGAGUGCCGCAAGGAAUUCGGUGACAGGUGAUGCAUGGCCGUCGUCAGCUCG
rnacentral:rRNA from 1 species